rnacentral:rRNA from 1 species
UACGAAGGCAGCAGUGGGGAAUAUUGCACAAUGGGCGCAAGCCUGAUGCAGCCAUGCCGCGUGUAUGAAGAAGGCCUUCGGGUUGUAAAGUACUUUCAGCGGGGAGGAAGGCGAUGUGGUUAAUAACCGCAUCGAUUGACGUUACCCGCAGAAGAAGCACCGGCUAACUCCGUGCCAGCAGCCGCGGUAAUACGGAGGGUGCAAGCGUUAAUCGGAAUUACUGGGCGUAAAGCGCACGCAGGCGGUCUGUCAAGUCGGAUGUGAAAUCCCCGGGCUUAACCUGGGAACUGCAUUCGAAACUGGCAGGCUAGAGUCUUGUAGAGGGGGUAGAAUUCCAGGUGUAGCGGUGAAAUGCGUAGAGAUCUGGGAGGAAUACCGGGUGGCGAAGGCGGGCCCCUGGGACAAAGACUGACGCUCAGGUGCGAAAGCGUGGGGAGCAAACGAGGAUUAGGAU